rnacentral:rRNA from 1 species
GACAGAGGGUGCAAACGUUGUUCGGAAUUACUGGGCGUAAAGCGAGUGUAGGCGGUGUGGUAAGUCGGAUGUGAAAGCCCCGGGCUCAACCCGGGAAGUGCAUUCGAUACUGCCACGCUAGAGUAUCGGAGAGGUUGGUGGAAUUCUCGGUGUAGAGGUGAAAUUCGUAGAUAUCGAGAGGAACACCGGUGGCGAAGGCGGCUCACUGGCUCGGUACUGACGCUGAGGUGCGAAAGCGUGGGGAGCAAACAGG